rnacentral:rRNA from 1 species
CCAAUAGCGUAUAUUAAAGUUGUUGCAGUUAAAAAGCUCGUAGUUGAACUUCGGGAUCAAUUGGUUGGUCAUGCCAACAGGUAUGUACUGAGCAUAUUGGUUCUCACCUUCUAAUGAACCAUAAUGUCAUUUAUUUGAUGUUAUGGGGAAUUAGGACUGUUACCUUGAAAAAAUUAGAGUGUUUAAAGCAGGCUUUCGCUUGAAUACAUUAGCAUGGAAUAAUGAAAUAGGACAUCGCAUUCUAUUUUGUUGGUUUCUAGGAUCGAUGUAAUGAUUAAUAGGGAUAGUUGGGGGCAUUAGUAUUCAAUUGUCAGAGGUGAAAUUCUUGGAUUUAUUGAAGACUAACUACUGCGAAAGCAUUUGCCAAGGAUGUUUUCAUUAAUCAAGAACGAAAGUUAGGGGAUCGAAGACGAUCAGAUACCGUCGUAGUCUUAACCAUAAACUAUGCCGACUAGGGAUCGGAUGAUGUUGAUUUUAUAAUGACUCAUUCGGCACCUUACG